rnacentral:rRNA from 1 species
CAUGCUUUACACAUGCAAGUCGAGCGGCAGCGCGGGGGCAACCUUGGCGGCGAGCGGCGAACGGGUGAGUAACGCAUCGGAACGUAUCCUGUAGUGGGGAAUAACUCACCGAAAGGUGAGCUAAUACCGCAUAAGCUCUGAGGAGGAAAAGCGGGGGGACCGAAAGGCCUCGCGCUGCAGGAGCGGCCGAUGUCCGAUUAGCUAGUUGGUGAGGUAAAGGCUCACCAAGGCGACGAUCGGUAGCUGGUCUGAGAGGAUGAUCAGCCACACUGGGACUGAGACACGGCCCAGACUCCUACGGGAGGCAGCAGUGGGGAAUUUUGGACAAUGGGGGAAACCCUGAUCCAGCCAUGCCGCGUGAGUGAAGAAGGCCUUCGGGUUGUAAAGCUCUUUCGGACGGAACGAAAUUGCUUGGACUAAUACUCUGAGUAGAUGACGGUACCGUAAGAAGAAGCACCGGCUAACUACGUGCCAGCAGCCGCGGUAAUACGUAGGGUGCGAGCGUUAAUCGGAAUUACUGGG